UACGUAGGGUGCGAGCGUUAAUCGGAAUUACUGGGCGUAAAGAGUGCGUAGGCGGUUCGUUAUGUCUGCUGUGAAAGCCCCGGGCUUAACCCGGGAAUGGCAGUGGAAACUGGCGGGCUUGAGUGUGGCAGAGGGGGGUGGAAUUCCGCGUGUAGCAGUGAAAUGCGUAGAGAUGCGGAGGAACACCGAUGGCGAAGGCAGCCCCCCUGGGCUAACACUGACGCUGAGGCACGAAAGCGUGGGGAGCAAACAGG
rnacentral:rRNA from 1 species